rnacentral:rRNA from 1 species
UACGGAGGAUCCAAGCGUUAUCCGGAAUCAUUGGGUUUAAAGGGUCCGUAGGCGGUUUUAUAAGUCAGUGGUGAAAUCCGGCAGCUUAACUGUCGAACUGCCAUUGAUACUGUAGAACUUGAAUUAUUAGGAAGUAACUAGAAUAUGUAGUGUAGCGGUGAAAUGCUUAGAGAUUACAUGGAAUACCAAUUGCGAAGGCAGGUUACUACUAAUGGAUUGACGCUGAUGGACGAAAGCGUGGGUAGCGAACAGG